CCUACGGGAUGCACCAGCGGGGAAUAUUGGACAAUGGGCGAAAGCCUGAUCCAGCAAUGCCGCGUGUGUGAAGAAGGCCUUCGGGUUGUAAAGUACUUUCAGCGGGGACGAUGAUGACGGUACCCGUAGAAGAAGCCCCGGCUAACUUCGUGCCAGCAGCCGCGGUAAUACGAAGGGGACUAGCGUUGCUCGGAAUGACUGGGCGUAAAGGGCGCGUAGGCGGUUUAUGCAGUCAGAUGUGAAAUCCCCGGGCUUAACCUGGGAACUGCAUUUGAGACGCAUAGACUAGAGGUCGAGAGAGGGUUGUGGAAUUCCCAGUGUAGAGGUGAAAUUCGUAGAUAUUGGGAAGAACACUGGUGACGAAGGCGGCAACCUGGCUCGAUACUGACGCUGAGGCGCGAAAGCGUGGGGAGCAAACAGGAUUAGAUACCCUCGUAGUC
rnacentral:rRNA from 1 species